rnacentral:tRNA from 1 species
AGGGAUGUAGCUCAGUGAAACAGUGCGUGCCUGGGAAGCAGGAGGUCCCGAGUUCGAUCCCUGGUAUUCCCC